rnacentral:tRNA from 3 species
GGGACUGUAGCUCAGUUGGUAGAGCAACGGACUGAAAAUCCGUGUGUCGGCGGUUCAAUUCCGCCCGGUCCCACCA